ACUCCUACGGGAGGCAGCAGUGGGGAAUAUUGCACAAUGGGCGAAAGCCUGAUCCAGCAAUGCCGCGUGUGUGAAGAAGGCCUUCGGGUUGUAAAGCACUUUUAGCGGGAGGGAAAUCCUGCCGGUUAAUACCUGGGGUGAUUGACGUAACCGCA
rnacentral:rRNA from 1 species